rnacentral:rRNA from 1 species
GAUGAACGCUGGCGGCGUGCCUAAUACAUGCAAGUCGAGCGAACGGACGAGAAGCUUGCUUCUCUGAUGUUAGCGGCGGACGGGUGAGUAACACGUGGAUGACCUACCUAUAAUACUGGGAUAACUUCGGGAAACCGGAGCUAAUACCGGAUAAUAUUUUGAACCGCAUGGUUCAAAAGUGAAAGACGGUCUUGCUGUCACUUAUAGAUGGAUCCGCGCUGCAUUAGCUAGUUGGUAAGGUAACGGCUUACCAAGGCAACGAUGCAUAGCCGACCUGAGAGAGUGAUCGGCCACACUGGAACUGAGACACGGUCCAGACUCCUACGGGAGGCAGCAGUAGGGAAUCUUCCGCAAUGGGCGAAAGCCUGACGGAGCAACGCCGCGUGAGUGAUGAAGGUCUUCGGAUCGUAAAACUCUGUUAUUAGGGAAGAACAUAUGUGUAAGUAACUGUGCACAUAUUGACGGUACCUAAUCAGAAAGCCACGGCUAACUACGUG